CAAACAACAUUGCAAUGUUAAAGCCAGGCCAUCAUGUGCACUCUUGUCAUUAUCAGUUUGAUAGUUUCGGACAUACUGCUUACCCAGUGGAGCGCUUUUGAAUCAGGAGAGACUGCCAAAACAUACAUUUGCAAAUACAAAAAUACUCUGAUCUAAACUAAAUGUGAUUUUUUUUAACACUCGUGAUGAAAAUGCAUUUCGUAUGUUAGAAUAUGACUCGCAUCUCUUAUUUGUGUAUUCCUUUAAAAUGGUGCCCCCAAGUGUUCAGAUUGAGAACACGUAACUAAAAUGACUUGUCUUAACAGGCUAACUAAAUUUAAGUGAAAUGUGCAGCAAGGCUCUUUAAAAAAACGUGCGGUUGGAGGUUACCAUAUCAGCAAAGACAAGCUGCGACGAAAUAUUUGUAUUUUGUACUUUUACGCGAUCUCAACAACAAUGGAGACUGACACUGCGGCUGCGCCAUGACGAAUUGACUUCUGGGUAAUGAAGUUAUUCAUCCAUUCAAGGGUCCAGUUACGGGAGCCUAUCCCAGCUGACUUUGGGCGGAAGGCAGACAACACGCCAAUGUGCGCGUGCGUCUCUGCGCGCGCGCGCGGACGGAAAGCCAAGAAUUGUGUCUUAAAUUGAUUAUAAUAAAUUCGGUAACAAUUGCAUUUAUUUAUUGACACGAACUAUUUCUACACCUCUGCCUUCCGCCACUGCUGGAGCGCGGGGCGUUGCAUGUUGUUCCUCAACCGUCCAGCAGGCGGAGACAUUAACAAUAUUCUUCAGAUCGUCUUAUUCAAGAUCAUCGAACAAACAGUAAAGUACAGCAUUUUUUUUUCUCUCACGUAGCAAGCCACCAUUCCGAAGUAACCAUGAGAAUAUAAUUGUGGGAAUGCAACUGCAAAAUAGUGUCUGUCUCUCUGGGAUCAUCAAACACCAUAAAGAUUUGUAUACACCCAUUUAGCCAUCAAAACUGGAGGGUAAUAAAUUGUCUUGAAAUUCUCUUCCACUAGAUUUGUAAUUCCUAUAAACUUAUCAACCUAUCAUACGAAAACAAGAAUCGAAACACUUCAACACGUAUGCCUUAAUCAGUCUGUCUGACAUGAGGACAAUUCACGUGCGCACUUGCAGGCCCAAAUAUCCUCCUUCCGCGCACUAUUAUUCACAGAUUUUCAAA